CCUUGUACACACCGCCCGUCACACCACGAAAGCGAGCAACACCCGAAGCCGGUGGCCUAACCGCAAGGAGGGAGCCGUCGAAGGUGGGGCCCGUGAUUGGGGUG
rnacentral:rRNA from 1 species